rnacentral:rRNA from 1 species
GUAGGGAAUAUUGGACAAUGGGGGCAACCCUGAUCCAGCGACGCCGCGUGAGUGAUGAAGGCCUUCGGGUCGUAAAGCUCUGUUGCAGGGGAAGAACACAAUGACGGUACCCUGCUAGAAAGGAUCGGCUAACUUCGUGCCAGCAGCCGCGGUAAGACGAGGGAUCCUAGCGUUGUUCGGAAUUAUUGGGCGUAAAGCGGGUGCAGGUGGCUUGAUAAGUCAGAUGUGAAAGCCUGGGGCUUAACCCCAGAAGUGCAUUUGAUACUGCUGAGCUUGAGUGCUGGAGAGGCUAUUAGAAUUCCUGGUGUAGUGGUGAAAUACGUAGAUAUCAGGAGGAAUACCGGAGGCGAAGGCGGAUAGCUGGCCAGACACUGACACUCAGACCCGAAAGCGUGGGGAUCAAACAGGAUUAGAAACCCCGGUAGUCC